CUACGGGAGGCACCAGUGGGGAAUAUUGCGCAAUGGGGGAAACCCUGACGCAGCAAUGCCGUGUGAGUGACGAAGGCCUUCGGGUCGUAAAGCUCUGUCGGCAGGGAAGAAACCUUUAGGGUAACGCCUAAAGCUGACGGUACCUGCAAAGGAAGCACCGGCUAACUCCGUGCCAGCAGCCGCGGUAAUACGGGGGUGCAAGCGUUGUUCGGAUUCACUGGGCGUAAAGAGAGCGUAGGCGGACUAUUAAGCGAGAUGUGAAAGCCCGGAGCUCAACUCCGGAACUGCAUCUCGAACUGGUAGUCUUGAAUACCGGAGGGGAAAGCGGAAUUCCUAGUGUAGAGGUGAAAUUCGUAGAUAUUAGGAGGAACACCAGUGGCGAAGGCGGCUUUCUGGACGGUUAUUGACGCUGAGGCUCGAAAGCGUGGGGAGCAAACAGGAUUAGAUACCCGAGUAGUC
rnacentral:rRNA from 1 species